AUAUAUUCUGCUAAUUAUAUGUUAGGGUCUUUCUAUUAUUUUACGUAGAAGAGUUUCUGCGGCUAUAGAGGCUGAAUUACUUGAAGUCUGGAACAGUUGUAAUCAAGCCAUGGUUUGUUCAUCAGGCCGUCGCAGUCAGUUAACCUCGUUGGAGAAUCCAAAUUCAGCAACAGUAUUGAAAACGUUGAUAUCUCAGUAGAGAAAUUUAUGAAUUCUGGAAAAGCACCAAAGGUUUAUAAAGCAGAAGUACAUCUUUAUAUUUUGUUCUUCUUUGAUUAACAAAGUGAACAUUUAUAAUAUAUUAUUCUUGAAACCA